AUUCAUGAUUUUGUGUUGUCAUAUUCCUUCUCCCUUUUUAUGGCUUUUAAAUAUUUAUUUGUUUAAUACAUAUUUGAGGGUAGGUUUUGUGCUAGUUAGUAAUAACAUGACUUACCAGAUUCUUGCCGGUUAAUUACUCUUUGGCACUAUUUCCUAUACUUUGAAUGCAUGUUUUCAUUUUGUUAUAUUAAACACAUCUUUGUAGGUGUAGGAGCCAAGGGCAGUCCACCCCAAAAUGUGCCAUUUUGGAAUAUUGAUUAUUUUACAUAAAAGUUACUUAAGAGACAGCCGGUGCAGGAAGGAUACUCUGCCCCCCACGCUGUUCCCCCCAAAAGCAGGAGAUAUAUCUCCCUUGUGAAAGCUGUCCUCCUGUACCAGGAGGUAAAGAGGCAUCCUUGUCACCAGAGAUGGGGCAUUUAGAGCAGAGAAGGCUGUAUAAACAACUUUUGUUACUUUUUAUUAAGUUACUACCCCAGCCCACCUGCUGUUUACAAUUCCUCACUAACUGAAGCUCACAAAGUUGUUUUCUUUGUCCCAUCAAUUCCUUACAGAUUUCUUGUCUGUUUUCCUAAAAAGUAUGAAAACUGCCCUCUCUGGUUAUUUCUUUAGGUCUCAGUUUCAGUAAUGGGUCUCCAUGGGCACAUAAUAAAAUGUUGGGGUUUUUUUCUCCCGUUAAUCUGUCUCAUGUCAAUUUAAUUUUUAGUCCGGCUGGAAGACCUUGAAGGACAGAGGAAGGAAUUUUUCUUCUCUACAAAGGCUAUAAUUAAGUGUAUUUUAUUUUGAAAUUUAGAAGAGGCUCUUUUUAAUAGAAACCGCCAGGUUGUUCACAAUAAAAGGUUUUCAGCGAGGGCUUGAUGGGAGAAAAAGGGAAAAAAGGCUGGACUUCGCUGCGGCUCAUAGUCUCCAGGCAGGAUUCUUGAAGCACACAGGUUGUAACACCCCUACAGCUACCUCGAGGACUUCCUUUAAUGUUUCACCACCAGAGCUUCGUUCUGGUCAGUGUUCCUUCCCUCUGAUAACCAUAUAUAUCGCCUCCACCCCAUACAUGUUAGCAAUCGUCCUUCAAACAUACGGCCCACUGAUACACAUCGGAAGGGUCUCAUGACUAAUGUUUUACUAGAUAGGAGUAAAUAACCUUAUCUUAACAGCAGCUAGCCCCUCAGGGUCCUGGAAACCUUGCUUCCAAAUUCCUUAGAGACUUAACGCUAUUCCUACCCCCCACUAACUAAAAAGUACCUAAUCAGUUAUUCCUCACACUCCCAGUGUGCUCUUUCUGCUCACGGGGCCUUUUUUGCAACAAAAAUGGCUCAAGAAUUCUUUCUUGACUGGUGGCUCUCCACCCCACACCAGGGCUCUGUAACAAAAGGCAGAUCAACAGGAGAGAAACAAAGAGAAGUUUUAUUAACGUGUUUAUGUUAUGUAUACGUAGGAGAAACUGGAGAUGAGUGACUCAUAGUUUUGGUUAGAACCUGGUCUUAGCAAGGAAAGGUAUUUUUAGGGAAGAGACGAGAUAAAGGAAAAGGACUGUGGGUCUCCAGGCCAGCAAAUUGUGUGAGAACAACUCUAAGGGAAACGAAUGGCAGAAAAAGGCUAGUCACCACAGUCUGGCAUGUGGUUUUCUCUCAUGCCACCUCCAGGCUGAGAAGCGACUGAAAUGGUCUAUGGUGAUUAACUUUUGUCCUUUCUGGUACAGAGGGUAAAGGAGACACUUUUAUAAUUUUAUGUCUUGCUUUUAGGCAAAUAGGAGAAAAGCAGAGAGCUUUUUUUCUUCUUCUUUUGGGGGGAGGGAGGGCUGGUCCUUCUUAAUUGCCUUCAGUCUGAAAUAAUCCAUAUGCUGAAGUGGCAUAUUUUGCGGUGGCCAAAUGUUGCUACCCUUCACAGUUAAGGCUUUAAAGCUUGAAAAUUAAAGGAAGCCAUUUUUCUUUCAAUGUUGCUCCUAAGAAAAAGAUCAACGAGAAAUUAGUAUUUAUAUAUAUAUGAGAUUUAAUAUCUGUGAUUUUUAUUUUUUUAAUUAAAAAAAUUUUUAAGUUUAUCUAUUUUGAGAGAGAGAGAAAGAGAGAGACAGAGAGCGUGGGCAGGAGAGGGGCAGAGAGAGAGAAUCCCAG
rnacentral:lncRNA from 1 species